rnacentral:lncRNA from 1 species
CAAGCCCCUAAAGCUCACCACUGAUUACAGGGUAUAUCAGCAGCUAGAGCAUCUAUGCACUGCCUUGUAGAAAAGAAUGUCUAACUUUCUUAAUCAUAAAGAUGUGGUGUUGUAUGAAAUCACAUAUAGCCAGAAUGACUUCAAAUUGCAAGAGUUUGAAUGGGAAAACUUCCCUAUCCAGUAUAUUCCCCUUAUCUUGCAUUAUCUAAUUACCACUUGUUUUGAAGCCUCAAAUACUAUCUUUCUGGGGAAAAGCUUUGAAAUGUUAAAGAGAUGCACUGAGCCG